GCUUCGCAGGAGACCAGCCCCAGGCGAGAUCCUGUCCUAAGCACUAGUCCGAAAGGCUGCGAUCGGCUAGAGAAACACAUUGGGCGCUGUAAUAGCGGGCCUAGGAGCUUAAUUAUCCAUUAAAUAAUGAGUGAACUACUAAUUUUUUUUGCUGCGAACUUUUCACGCUCAUCUCUUGGCCCCUCCCUAAAUCACUUGGAAACAGGUGUGUGUGUCGAUGGGACUAGGUUAAACUUCUUUGACCUAACUUGCUCCAUCUUGAAGUCUGUCCUCCAUUUUGCAUGGCCCCAAUUCCAAGAAAAACCACAAAUGUUCUAAGACUAGAGUCUACCACUCAGGGAAGGGGAGGAACAUCUGGCCUUUUCUCCAAGAUCCUGAAACAGUUGCCACCUUCUUUCCCUGGGAUACCCAGGGGCCACCACAGACCAGUCAGGAGCCAGGACCUCUGGAAAGCCCCCUACCCACAACCAACCAUGGUAAAGGUUGCCUAGACCCUCACCCUAAUCUUCCAUUUCAUACCUGGUUGUGGUUUUCUGCUUUAAAAGGCCUAUGAGCCCACUUCUUGAGCUCAUUGCUUCAGCUCCCGAGCCUGACUGCAUCUCUAGUCCAGCUUGUUUCCCUUGGUGAAUAAAAGCUGCUUUUGUUUGACUUUGGA